AUAAAACAAUUUACUAAUUAGCACUGAUUAUGAACCAAUUUCCUAGUCAAUCCCAAAUUAGCUCGAAACCUACAUUAUUACAGUUGAUCUUCUGAUUUCAACAUGCCGGUCCUAACAGUUCUAUUAACAACAAACUCAGCCUGAAUGCGAUAUCAAUUGACUUAGUACUAUAACUAUCACUAAGUGAAGCAUCACGUCUUAAGAGUCCAAAUAGUUCUAGUCAGUCCAUAUUAUACAAAUUUAAACGAGUCCUACUUAUUCAAAUCUCAAUACUACUAUUACAUGUCUAACAUGAAUUACUCAUUCAAAAUGAACACAAAGGAAACUGCAUAUGAGCUAAGGCAAUAACAAAAUGCUUGCACUUUGAUUUCUCUUCCAACAACAACAUCCCACAACCCAGUAUAAUCCUACUUAGUAGGGUCUGGGGAGGUUAGUGUGUACGCAGACUUAUGGGGUAGGGAGGCUGUUUCCAAAUAGAAACCCGCAUCCUUCCCUCCAAGAACUUCCCACCUUACUCUUGGGGAGACUCGAACUCACAACCUCUCGGUUGGAAGUGGGGGUUGCUUACCAUCAGAGCAACCCCUCUUGUCUUGAUUUCUCUUCCAAUUAGGCUUUAUUCAGCUUGACAUUUUACAUAUCAUUCAAGGUCUGGAUGAAUACCUGGAAACAGAAUAGAGUAAAAGGAAGCAGAGAUUAGCCACAACAGAGCAAACAACAACAAAUUUGGAGUUUCAGACAUCAAACAAACAUAUCCAAUUUCAAUCCGGAUAUGCCUCAGUGAUCCGGAACUAUUUUAAAUCAAAUAAGACCAAUAUAGCAACCCACAGUCAGUAUCAAAACGAACCCAGGAGAUCAACCUACUCAACAGAUAACUCACAAUUGACUCAAACCAAACAGAUUCAAUUUCCAAUGGAUUCCAAACUCUGUCACCUUUCAAGUAUCGAACCAAAACAAAGGAUUUCAAUCUGUUUUGGUUUUUAAUUGAUCUAAAGAGAUGAACUAAUACUGAGAAAAGAAGUAAUGUAACAGUGCUUUUGUUUUGGCUCUCAAAAAUGCUCUUUUUCAAAACUCCCUUAACAAUCCAAAAUGAUCUACACUCUGUGUUCUUUGUCGGCUUUUUAAACUUGCUAAACUCAGUCCUUAACUCUCAAGAGAACUGAAUAGAAAUUUAAUGCCUUUUCAAAGUUCUCAAAAUGCUGUCAAAGAACUAAUUCAACUCUCAAGAACUGAUUAGAAAAAUGAAAUCUUCCAAUGCUCUCUGUUCAGGGGUGCGGGUUUGGGACUGAUUAGGUAAGCUAAGGUUUAGGGUCCAGAUUUUGAUUUAAGAUUCGACGAGCUUGGACAAGGUUUGGAGGAAAAGGGUUGGUGAUCUGGAAAGAGGGUAGCUAGGGGAUGCUAUGGUGUAAAUUUGGAGGUGAACGAAGCCGACGCCGCUGGGUUUUGGGCAGUGGAAAGGGGUGGCAGCUAGCUAGGGUUUGGGGAAUUUGGUCUCUGAAGGGCGGAGGCUAAGGAAGGGGAUGGGUU
rnacentral:lncRNA from 1 species